UCCCAUAUAGUGUAGUGGUUGAACAUGGUCGCCUUUCAAUUUCUUUGGCCUGAAUCGCGACAGCCCGGGGUUCGAUUCCCCGUAUGGGAA